UACGGAGGGGGCAAGCGUUGUUCGGAAUCAUUGGGCGUAAAGAGUAUGUAGGCGGCUAUUUAAGUCAGACGUGUAAGCCCACGGCUCAACCGUGGAAUUGCGUUUGAAACUAUUUAGCUUGAGUGCAGGAGAGGAAGGCGGAAUUCCCAGUGUAGCGGUGAAAUGCAUUGAUAUUGGGAAGAACACCGGUGGCGAAGGCGGCCUUCUGGUCUGACACUGACGCUGAGAUACGAAAGCCAGGGGAGCGAACGGGAUUAGAUACCCCGGUAGUCCUGGCCGUAAACGAUGGGCACUAGGUGCGGGAGGUAUUGAUCCCUUCCGUGUCGCAGCUAACGCAUUAAGUGCCCCGCCUGG
rnacentral:rRNA from 1 species